ACUCUGGUUCCUUCUGAUCCAAUGUUUCACUGCCAAAUAGUAAAACUGAGGAAGUCACAGGAGGUCUAAAAAAGCCCAGCUGCCCCACACAUGCCACCUCUGCCUGAGUUUUGAUUUCAAUUCCUUCUUAUUAGUUACUGCCCCAAAUUGAGGAAAUGAGAGUCUCCCGGUUUAUAGACUCUUGGUCAUUCAGACACAAUGACCAGCAGGUCUUCACUCAGUUAGGUGACUCUUCCAUCGGCCACCCCCAUCCCAACUGUCCAGGAUUUAGUUUUUUCCACCUCUGGUCAUUGCUGCACAAAGAACUCAAAAAUCACAGCCUCUUGGCUUCUCACAGCCCUGCCUGCAGCUCCUCCCUGGUCCCUGCGUUCCCCCUUUAAUCCCGCUCCUGCCCCAGGCUGCCCACUGGCUCGGCCUCCACUUCUGCUCCAACAGUCUCAGAGACCGUGUUGGUCCAAACAUGUCAGUGAAGUACGAAGACCUUCAGUACUCAGAGAGUGAGAAAAAAAGCCAGGGGUUUACAGAAGCACUGUUUUCUUCCCAGACCUUCCUGAAGAGGCUCCCCUCCAGCCCUUGCCUCCUCCUGCUCUCCCUGGGCCUCAGCCUCCUGCUGGCCAGCGUAUGUGUGAUGGGAUACCAAAAUUUCAAGUUUCAGAGUGACCUGCAGACCCUGAGAACAGGUUUCAGUAACUUCACUUCAAACACUGUGGCUGAGGUCCAGGCACUGAACUCCCAGGGUGGCAACUUGCAAGAAAUGAUAACAUCACUGAAAGCUGAGGUGGAAAGUCACAAGCAAGAACUGCAAGCUGCCCGUAGCUUGAAUGACAAGGUGCUUUCUCUGGAGAACAGGCUGGAGAAGCAACUGGAAGAACUCAAAGCAGGUGAUUCUGAAAUGCUCCUUCGAGUCCAGCAGCUGGUCAAGAACAUGAACUCCCUGACCUGCAAGAUGGAUGCUCUCAAGAGCAAUUUCUCUCAAAACACAGCCUGCUGUCCCGCCAACUGGCUGGAGCAUGAAGGCCGCUGCUACUGGUUUUCUUCCUUGGGGAAGCCCUGGCCAGAAGCUGAGAGAGACUGCCAACUGAAGAAUGCCCACCUGGUAGUCAUCAACUCCAGAGAGGAGCAGGAUUUUAUCCAGGCCAACCUACGUCCUUACUUCACCUGGAUGGGCCUCAGUGAUCUAGAUGGAGUCUGGAAAUGGGUGGAUGGGUCGGACUAUGAGACCAACAUCAAGGUGAUUGUGAAGAUGCAACAUGACGUGUAUAUGUCCCUGGCCCAUCACAAGGAAGUCUUCUUCCUGCCGCUCUGUCCUGGAGGACGUAUUGUCGUUGAGCACGCAACAUGCACUGCAUGGAGGUCUGUGAUUUAACACCCGAGGUUUACCAGGUUCUCUAGCAACGUUCCCUGAGAACGUUGGAGCUACUCAUCCCCUCAGGCUUUGGGAGGACCACCCCCAUGGGUCCCACUCCUGUGGGACCACGCAACCACCCCGUGCGUUGCCUACCAACGUUGGGGAGGCUGGCGAUUGCAAUCCAUGCAUCUCCCGGGUACGCAGCCAGCGGCAGCUUCAUCUAUUUGGGGCUGCCCAAGUCGCUGCCCUCCUGCCGUCCGGCUUCACGUCCAGGCACUCCACCCCCUGAGAUGG